AUCAUGGCUCAGGGAUGAACGCUGGGCGGCGUGCCUAAUACAUGCAAGUCGAACGAGUUCUGAUUAUUUGAAAGGUGCUUGCAUCUUGAUUUAAAUUUUGAAACGAGUGGCGGGACGGGUGAGUAACACGUGGGUAAACCUGCCCUUAAAGUGGGGGGAUAACAUUGGGAAAACAGAUGCUAAUACCGCAUAAAUCCAAGACCGCAUGGUUCUUGGCUGAAAGAUGGCGUAAGCUAUCGCUUUUGGAUGGACCCGCGGCGUAUUAGCUAGUUGGUGAGGUAACGGCUCACCAAGGCAAUGAUACGUAGCCGAACUGAGAGGUUGAUCGGCCACAUUGGGACUGAGACACGGCCCAAACUCCUACGGGAGGCAGCAGUAGGGAAUCUUCCACAAUGGACGCAAGUCUGAUGGAGCAACGCCGCGUGAGUGAAGAAGGCUUUCGGGUCGUAAAACUCUGUUGUUGGAGAAGAAUGGUCGGCAGAGUAACUGUUGUCGGCGUGACGGUAUCCAACCAGAAAGCCACGGCUAACUACGUGCCAGCAGCCGCGGUAAUACGUAGGUGGCAAGCGUUAUCCGGAUUUAUUGGGCGUAAAGCGAGCGCAGGCGGUUUUUUAAGUCUGAUGUGAAAGCCCUCGGCUUAACCGAGGAAGUGCAUCGGAAACUGGGAAACUUGAGUGCAGAAGAGGACAGUGGAACUCCAUGUGUAGCGGUGAAAUGCGUAGAUAUAUGGAAGAACACCAGUGGCGAAGGCGGCUGUCUGGUCUGUAACUGACGCUGAGGCUCGAAAGCAUGGGGUAGCGGAAACAAGGAUUAGAUACCCUGGUAGUCCAUGCCGUAAACGAAUGAAUGCUAGGUGUUGGAGGGUUUCCGCCCUUCAGUGCCGCAGCUAACGCAUUAAGCAUUCCGCCUGGGGAGUACGACCGCAAGGUUGAAACUCAAAGGAAUUGACGGGGGCCCGCACAAGCGGUGGAGCAUGUGGUUUAAUUCGAAGCAACGCGAAGAACCUUACCAGGUCUUGACAUCUUUUGAUCACCUGAGAGAUCAGGUUUCCCCUUCGGGGGCAAAAUGACAGGUGGUGCAUGGUUGUCGUCAGCUCGUGUCGUGAGAUGUUGGGUUAAGUCCCGCAACGAGCGCAACCCUUAUGACUAGUUGCCAGCAUUUAGUUGGGCACUCUAGUAAGACUGCCGGUGACAAACCGGAGGAAGGUGGGGAUGACGUCAAAUCAUCAUGCCCCUUAUGACCUGGGCUACACACGUGCUACAAUGGAUGGUACAACGAGUUGCGAGACCGCGAGGUCAAGCUAAUCUCUUAAAGCCAUUCUCAGUUCGGACUGUAGGCUGCAACUCGCCUACACGAAGUCGGAAUCGCUAGUAAUCGCGGA
rnacentral:rRNA from 1 species